CUUGUGUUGUCUCCUCCUUGUUGUCACACAUGUGGUGUUUGCAGCCCCAAUCAGAGCUCAAAGAGAAAAUGUGUUAAGCUUUCUGAAUGAUGCACUUGGCACAAUGAACGUACCUGGAAAUGUCACAGCGUAUACAACACCUCCAAGUAAACCUGUGACAGAGAACAACUCUGAAGAUAUUUCAGAUGCAAACUCGUCAGAUGACAAGACUGGAUUUGCAGAACCUGAGCAGACUAAUAAUAAUGGAGGCGACAGCACCGGUACAGUACCUU